rnacentral:rRNA from 1 species
UACGAAGGGGGCUAGCGUUGCUCGGAAUCACUGGGCGUAAAGCGCACGUAGGCGGAUUUCUAAGUCAGGGGUGAAAUCCUGGAGCUCAACUCCAGAACUGCCUUUGAUACUGGGAAUCUUCGAGUCCGGGAGAGGUGAGUGGAACUGCGAGUGUAGAGGUGAAAUUCGUAGAUAUUCGCAAGAACACCAGCGGCGAAGGCGGCUCACUGGCCCGGUACUGACGCUGAGGUGCGAAAGCGUGGGGAGCAAACAGG